UACGUAGGGUGCGAGCGUUAAUCGGAAUUAUUGGGCGUAAAGAGCUCGUAGGCGGUCUGUUGCGUCCGCUGUGAAAACCCAGGGCUUAACCCUGGGCUGGCAGUGGAUACGGACAGACUAGAGGUAGGUAGGGGAGAAUGGAAUUCCCGGUGUAGCGGUGAAAUGCGCAGAUAUCGGGAGGAACACCGGUGGCGAAGGCGGUUCUCUGGGCCUUACCUGACGCUGAGGAGCGAAAGCGUGGGGAGCGAACAGG
rnacentral:rRNA from 1 species